GCAGAGGGCGAGGCUGCCCCGGGAACAAGAGGAGAGGGGGCAGCAGAGGAGGUCCCAUCUAGGCAGGACACAAUGAGAGGUGAAGCUAGAAAAAAGGACAGAACUAAAGGGAUGAAGGACAAAUGAGUGGACUGGACACAAAUAGGGAGAAAAGAUGGACGGUCAGGAUAGGGAAAUCACCCAAAGGAAAGACAAAGAGGAUUUCUCUGUGUGAUUACACGGAUAGUGAUGAAAAAGAUACGAGUGAAAAGAAAGGAAGGAAACGGGAAAAGGGAAGUAGUAAGGAGACAAAAUAAGGAAUAAAGUGCAUAGGACCGGCUAAGUGGUUAGAAAGUCACCAGGCGGUUCGGCUGAGUGGGAGAAGCACCAUAGCCAGACCCAAAAGGUCUCCAUCAGAAAGACGGAGGCAGGCAAUUUAAGCAGCUGGCUCCUGAGGUAAAAAUGAAAAAAAAAAAAAAAAAAAAAACAAGAUGGAAAAGGUGAGAAGCAGGAGAGGGAAAACCCAGAGGAGACACUGGCCCAGAAACCUUUUUAACUUUCUGUAAAAUCUUCAAGGCCCCAAACUAGGCCAAGAUUCUGACUGACAUUUCUCACCAGCUGCUGUUUCCUUGAGAGAAUUCUGACAGCAAGGCAUAGAAAUGCAAGCCAACACUGCUAGCUCUGGAGGAAAAAAAAAAUCCAUGCUCUAAACACCUCCACGGGGCUGAAGGCUGCCAGGGAAAAAGGCACACAGAGGAGGGACCCGCCGGCGACUUUUCCCCAGGCUUGGACCAGUGGUGCUCAGGACAUACCAAGAAUCCUCACCCUAGAGGCUGCAGUCAACUCCUACAGAAGCUGCCCCCUGCUCUGGCUGGUCAAACGGAACCAAGUCCGUCUUCCUGAGAGGUUUGGUCCCCUUCAACCAGCUACAGCAGGGCUGGCAAGGCCCAGUCCUUGGAGAAACAGAAGAGAUUCAUCUGUGGCUGAAGUUACCUACUAACGUUUCCCUUAAGAAAGCGACUCUGAUUUUGUUAUCACACUCUCAUGCUUCCAGGAAGGGAGAAAAGGGGAGCCCUGGGUUCAAAAGUGAGCCAGAUUUCCAUGCUUAACACACAGAGCUCUGUGCCUAUGUACCCACAACUAGAGCCACUCUUAUGCUCUUGACAUAAGAGUAAAGAUUUUAGGAUGGACUGUGGUUCAGCCCUGGGCCAGCCAAGGGACGAGCAUGAGCCCCAGAAGACAGGGCCCCUGCUCAAAGGGCUAAGAGUCUAAGGAAAGAAACUGGACAUAUGAAUAGGGCACAAUUCAAUGGAACUGCAAGUCAUGGCAAGGCUGGUUCCAAGACAUAAUUGUGUUACACAGCCCACCAAAUGUGUCUGGUACACUGUGUGCUAUCAGGGCAGCCCAAAGAGCUAUUCACUAACAAAUUCACACGUAGCUCAGGUUCGCAUCGGCAGAAUGGGGAUAAUGAUAAUCAUAGUACCCACCACAUAUGGUUUUAUGUGGAAUGGAAUGAGAACACAUGUAAAGGAGUUAGAAAGAUCUCAGUAAUUUUUACCUGCUAUUAAAGAAGGGAUCCUGACCUGCCUUCCAAUUCCUCUCUCAAAAUUUCUAUCUUUGGGGCUUCCCUGGUGGCGCGGUGGUCGAGAGUCCGCCUGCCGAUGCAGGGGACGUGGGUUCGUGCCCCGGUCCGGGAGGAUCCCACAUGCCGCAGAGCGGCUGGGCCCGUGAGCCAUGGCCGCCGAGCCUGCGCGUCCGGAGCCUGUGCUCCGCAACGGGAGAGGCCACAACAGUGAGAGGCCCGCGUACCGCAAAAAAAAAAAAAAAUUUCUAUCUUUGACCGUGUUGCUCAGGGUGUGCCCAGGACUUAGCUGGGGUUACAUUUGCUGAUGGAAUUCCAGAAGCCUGUGUUCACAUGCUGUCCUCUGACACACAUGUGGUCUCCUGAUGUCCAGGGACCACAAAGUCUCCACCCAGGGAAGCUUAUUUUGUGCUCAUCUGCACGUGCCUAGGGAGUCAGGGAGACCGGGGUUUGAAUCCUUCCCUUCUCGUUUAUUAGCUCUGAUGUAGCCUCCCUGGGCCUCAGUUAACAUUGUGUAAACCUUCGUUUCCUCAUUAUUGUAAAAUGGGGACAAUAAUACUUAGGGCUGAUUGAAGGAUUUUAAAAGGUAAUGUUUAUCAGGAGCCACAUACAAGCCCCCAAGAAAUGGCAGCUGGUGUUGUUUGGCUGCUGUACACAGCAACAGCUCAGAGAAAAUGCUGUGUCCACGGGCACUCACAACUGGAAGGGCAAGACGAGAUUUAAAACAAAAAAACAGAAAAACAAAAAAAUCAGUAAAACCUCAUCACAGGGUCAUUUUAUAUUCCAACUAUUAAUUCUAUAUCAUGUAGCAUGCCUUCAUUCUGGUAUGUGUUACUAGUAUGGAAUAAGUUUUACUAAAAAGUAAAUGCUUCGUGUAUGAGACUGAUCCUAUUACCUUCAAGAAACAUCCUGCCUAGAAAGCAAGCCCUCAUCUGUGAACACUGUCAAGAAGCCAGUCUGAAACCACUGAGUAUGUGAAGGCCAUAGUGUAUGGAGUUUAGACGUAGGGGCUGGAGCCAGACUGCCUGGGCUCAAAUCCCAGCACCCUCACAGUGGCAGCUGUGCCACUUUGGGCAAAUUGUUUGACCUCUCUGGGCCUGGGUUUCCUCAUAUGUAGAAUGGGGAUAUUAGUGAUAGUAUCUACCGCAUAAGGUUUGCAUGAGAAUGAAAUGAAAAUACAUGUAAAGAUAUACAACUAGUGCUGGGUGCGUAAUAAACUUUUAAGUCUUUAUCUUUGACACUGUACCUGAAAUGUUCCUGAAACUAAGUUGGUGUUCAAUAAAAAUUUAUUUAAUAAAAGA